rnacentral:rRNA from 1 species
UACGUAGGGUGCGAGCGUUAAUCGGAAUUACUGGGCGUAAAGCGUGCGCAGGCGGUUCGCCGUGUCCGAUGUGAAAGCCCCGGGCUUAACCUGGGAAUGGCAUUGGAAACUGGCGGGCUUGAGUGUGGCAGAGGGGGGUGGAAUUCCACGUGUAGCAGUGAAAUGUGUAGAGAUGUGGAGGAACACCGAUGGCGAAGGCAGCCCCCUGGGCCAACACUGACGCUCAGGCACGAAAGCGUGGGGAGCAAACAGG